rnacentral:rRNA from 1 species
GACGAACGCUGGCGGCGUGCUUAACACAUGCAAGUCGAACGGAAAGGCCCUGCUUUUGUGGGGUGCUCGAGUGGCGAACGGGUGAGUAACACGUGAGUAACCUGCCCUUGACUUUGGGAUAACUUCAGGAAACUGGGGCUAAUACCGGAUAGGAGCUCCUGCUGCAUGGUGGGGGUUGGAAAGUUUCGGCGGUUGGGGAUGGACUAGCGGCUUAUCAGCUUGUUGGUGGGGUAGUGGCUUACCAAGGCUUUGACGGGUAGCCGGCCUGAGAGGGUGACCGGCCACAUUGGGACUGAGAUACGGCCCAGACUGCUACGGGAGGCAGCAGUGGGGAAUAUUGCACAAUGGGCGGAAGCCUGAUGCAGCAACGCCGCGUGCGGGAUGACGGCCUUCGGGUUGUAAACCGCUUUCGCCUGUGACGAAGCGUGAGUGACGGUAAUGGGUAAAGAAGCACCGGCUAACUACGUG